rnacentral:lncRNA from 1 species
AUUUACAAAAGUCUAAAGGUCCUCGUGUGAUGCUGUUAGUCAUGAUUCUGGUUGUUUUCUUAAAAUGCCGCAUGUAAUAGAAAUAACUACAUUCGUUUAUCAAUUAGAAACUUCCAUCAGAUUUUAACCAUGGCUAUUCUAACUUUUUGUCACCUACAGUUAAUAUUUUCAAUUCUUCUCUAAAAAUAUUUGUAAUCAACCAAGGUACAAAAAUGCUUUUUAUUGAAAAACUCUGACAAGUGCUCUUGAACACAGACUUCUGAUAACUUUAAGAUCAAUGGACUAGAACUUUCAGAACUCUAAUGAAAAACUGAUGUAUUCAUGAAAAUUGCUAACCCAAAACCAAGCAGAACAAAAAUUAUAUAGAACUAAACUGAUGGAGGACUAAAGUGAUUUUUUAUGACUUUUUGUUUGAAACAGGGCUGAUUCCUUUUAUAUUUUGUUUUCCAGCAUCAAAAAAACAGUUUUUUUCUUUUGAGCUAUUUAUAUUUUACAGUAAUUGGGUAAAAUAUACUUCUAUAAGCAAAACUGAAACAUUUACCUUUCUCUCUCUACUUGAAUUAUCCAGAAUCUGGAAAUUAUUCCUAAGCAUUCUUGUUUUAUGACAAUGUAGUUAUUUGUAUAAGUUCAAUAAGAAUCUUUAUUUUUUUGGUAACAGGAUACAGUGGAAACACUGGUUAUUUUUCCAAAGCUUUAACUAGAACGUCAUAUUUUCAAAUAGGACAAAAUUGCUUUAAGGAAUUGAGAUUGAAGCUAAUAGACUUGGAAAAAUAUGGGCCUAAUACUUUGUCUACACAAUUUCCUUACAAGGUUUCUGACCUUGUGGUAAGUAAAGAAUGUUACUUUUGGACAGGUUUGGGAACCUCAAGAUAUUCUGGGGACCUCAAGAAGAGGGGAAGUCACCUAAUCUGUGCUGGUAUUACAAGCACCGUCUGAUAGUGAAUCCUUGGGUUGGCUACUUAGGCUCAAGAGGCUUUUAAAAGUCCAACCCAAAAUCUGUUAUAAAAAAAGUUACAGCAAAGCUAAUUUAAAAGGAGUCUCUAUGGCCAAUCACUAUUCUUGCUGUACUUUACACGAAUAACCAAGGCAAAUACAAUCUGACUAAAACUUAUAUGGCGAACAAAUUGGUCUCACUGUGAUUUUUCUUUGGUAGAAAAAGGGACUGGAGAGAGAACUAUCAUGUUUCAGAAGAUAACUAUAGUAUACCUGUUAUUAGACUCUAGCCCUGACUGUUGUUUUUGAGUUUUAAAAAUUUGCCCUUUUUUUGGACUGAAUACUGGAUUAUCUCCUGGUUAUAACAUGUCUCUAAAGAAGAACUUGAAGUUGAUUUUCUUCUUGAUGAUUUUAGUUGGCUCCCUAAUGGUAUAGGCUCUCUUUUUUCCAUUCUGGCAUACAAAUUCUCCUUUUAAUUCUAAUCCUUAUGUGAAUUUUUUGCACUAUGUAAAUUAUUAAUACUAUGUAUGUCUCAUUGUUUUACUUCUUCCAAGAAAACAAAAAUCAUGCAAUUCUAAAGAUUAGAGAUGAUUCAACAAGUGAGAGCAGCUAUAAAUUGAUAUCUUAUUUAGUUGGUUACACUCAGGACUAACUCCUUUAUUUUGUACUGGUCUUCAAGUUGUUAUUAUUAUAACCAUAACCAUAAAUAUAAACAUAGUUGUCAUUUUCCUGACUAUUAAGUUACUCAUUAUUUUCAUUUCUGCUUGCUUUAGAUCAAUGUCUAAAGCCAAAAUCAUGGUCACCCAGCAACUGGCAAUGAUUCAUUAUUCAGGAGAAUAGCAUGUAGUCUUGUGUCCAUGACCUACAUUCCUAGCAAUCUGCCUUACCUGCAGUAACAAGGUUCUUUGCCCCCACUGAAGGAUAUGACUUUCUGAGAAUGAGCUUUCCUAGCACCAAGGAAUGAAGCAAGUCUAUCACUGUAACCUAAGCAGAGAUUGAUCAUCAAUGCUUCUAUGGGAAGAUUUUGGAUCAAAAACGGGAAAUAAAAACCAGACGUCACUUUGACAGUUUAAAAGAAAACAGGCUUUCAAAUUAAUCUGCCUUGGGAAAGUCUUGUGAUUCAUGAUGACACCUUCUUCUUGAGUAAAGAGUCUUGUCUUGAGUUCCUCAAAUUGUUGAUGUACUGAUUAAUGCAUAGCCUACUGACACUGAAAAGGAUGCUGACUCAUUUUUGAAUUAUAAAGUUUUACUAAUUGUUUUGCAUGCAGACAUUUUAGCCUGUACAUUGCAAUCUGUAUCCAGUGAUUGUAAACCUCUAUAUUGCACCCUCCAAUGAAAAGAAAAUCCAGUAUGAGGAGUCCCCCUCCCUUCUCCUAAUCUCUCCUAUAAAAGUUUUCCAACAG